CUUCUUCUGUUUUCAAUACAAUUUUUAAUUAAUUAUUUUUUUCAAAUUGAAAAUUACUGAAUUUUUUCUCAUUUUGGUAUUCUAUGGCUGCAGGAAAAAAAUAUAUUUUCGUGGGCAUAUUUGGAUCACCUUAAGUUACAAAAAUACAUAUACUUGUAAAUAUGUAUAUGAAUGCAAAUGUAAUGAAAGAGAAAAUUAUGAAGAGCAAUCAUCACACCAAUCACCAGCUGUCAUAUUCCAAUUAAUUAAUUAAUUGUUUAUUUAUACAACGAAUGCAACGGAUAUGUGUAUAAGUACCAACAUAUGAACUUUCAUACAUACACGUAUACAGACAUAUACCCAAAAGAGUGUGGAAGACAUCAAAGUUCGUGGAGUUGCAACGGAGUUGAAGUGGUAUUUUUGUUGUUUUUGUUAUUGUUUUUUCUUUCAGCUGUAAAUGCAAUGCGACGCAUCACACGCACAACCGAUGGCUUAGUAGACGUUCAACUCAUCAAUGAGUUGAUAACUCAUAAAUCAGCCGCGUAAACAGGAAGCGACGUUGAUGAAGACGUCGAUGCAAUCUCAUCGCGCUUAUUACGUUACACGAAGUGCCGUAAUGAAGUAAAUUAUCAAGUUAAGUGUAAGGAGGAAAGCGCGGCGGUAUUUUUAUGGUCGCCUACUUGUACGAGUGCAUGGCCAGCAGAGGAAGUGUUGUAAAAUAAAAAUUGAAAUUAAUUUUUUAAAUGAUUUUUGGAAAAACUACGU
rnacentral:lncRNA from 1 species